rnacentral:ncRNA from 1 species
UGUUUCAGGGCGAGGUGAAAUUCCUCACCGGCGGUAAAGUCCGCGAGCCGAGCUUACUUUAAGCUUAGCAUGAUUCGGUGAAAUUCCGAAACCGACGGUAUAGUCCGGAUGAAAGAAA